UACAGAGGGUGCGAGCGUUGUUCGGAAUUAUUGGGCGUAAAGGGCGCGUAGGCGGUGCGGUAAGUCACCUGUGAAAAUCUCCUGGCCUCAACUGGGAGCUUGCAGGCGAAACGUGCCGUGCUGGAGUGUGGGAGAGGUGCGUGGAAUUCCUGGUGUAGCGGUGAAAUGCGUAGAUAUCAGGAGGAACACCUGUGGCGAAAGCGGCGCACUGGACCACAACUGACGCUGAGGCGCGAAAGCGUAGGGGAGCAGACAGG
rnacentral:rRNA from 1 species